rnacentral:rRNA from 1 species
GAUGAACGCUGGCGGCGUGCCUAAUACAUGCAAGUCGAGCGAACAGACGAGGAGCUUGCUCCUCUGACGUUAGCGGCGGACGGGUGAGUAACACGUGGAUAACCUACCUAUAAGACUGGGAUAACUUCGGGAAACCGGAGCUAAUACCGGAUAAUAUAUUGAACCGCAUGGUUCAAUAGUGAAAGACGGUUUUGCUGUCACUUAUAGGUGGAUCCGCGCCGCAUUAGCUAGUUGGUAAGGUAACGGCUUACCAAGGCAACGAUGCGUAGCCGACCUGAGAGGGUGAUCGGCCACACUGGAACUGAGACACGGCCCAGACUCCUACGGGAGGCAGCAGUAGGGAAUCUUCCGCAAUGGGCGAAAGCCUGACGGAGCAACGCCGCGUGAGUGAUGAAGGUCUUCGGAUCGUAAAACUCUGUUAUUAGGGAAGAACAAAUGUGUAAGUAACUAUGCACGUCUUGACGGUACCUAAUCAGAAAGCCACGGCUAACUACGUG